AGCAAGCCGCCACGACGUUGUCGGGGUAAGGGUGAAAGGGUGGGGUAAGAGCCCACCGCGCGACUGGCAACAGGAGCGGCACGGUAAACCCCACCGGGAGCAAGAGCGAAUAGGGGCGGUGCGAGGGGAAACCCUCGAGGGCUGUUUCCGGCUCACCGUCCGGGUAGGUUGCGUGAGGCGCAUGGCAACAUGCGCCCAAGAUGAAUGGCCGCCACGUUCUCGCCUCGCAAGGGGCGAGGGCCAUACAAAACCCGGCUUACAGGCCGGCUGGCAAU
rnacentral:RNase_P_RNA from 1 species